CAUCGUCUGGACAAACUACCACGUCUCCACCUCCAAACACCGCAACUGCAGCAACCCCGCUUCCAGCUACAAACACCGCAAUUGAUGCAACCCUGUUUCCAGUUUCAAACACCGCAACUGAUGCAACCCUGUUUCCAGCUCCAAACACCGCAACUGCAUCCCUGACUCCGGUUCCAAUCAUCCUAACACCCCUUCCUUCAUUUGAAACCACCCCAGGCUUUGCCUCACUGGCAUAUGUGGAGAUGAAGAUGACUUCCAUUGGAGAGGUCAGCAAUGGAACCAUCAUUGAACUUAUUAAACAGUUUGUUAGAGAACAGCUCCUGAAUAGAACAGCCCAAACAGUCACUGUGACAAAGAUUCAAAGGGUUGGAGCAACAACUGCAGCCCCCACAACUCUGGCUGUAACCAAUUCAACUACAGCCACCACGACUCCAGCUCCAACCACCACAACUGCAGCAACCUUGACUCCGCACAAACCACCACAACUGCAGCCACCACAACUCUGACCACAACCACCACAACUGCAGUAACUACCACAACUUGAGCCACCACAACUCGGACAGCAACCACAACUGCACUGCAG